rnacentral:rRNA from 1 species
CGGGUGAGUAAUGCUUGGGAAUCUAGCUUAUGGAGGGGGAUAACUACGGGAAACUGUAGCUAAUACCGCGUAGUAUCGGAAGAUGAAAGUGUGGGACCUUCGGGCCACAUGCCAUAGGAUGAGCCCAAGUGGGAUUAGGUAGUUGGUGAGGUAAAGGCUCACCGAGCCGACGAUCUCUAGCUGGUCUGAGAGGAUGACCAGCCACACUGGGACUGAGACACGGCCCAG